GACGAACCGUGCAAACGUUGUUCGGAUUCACUGGGCUUAAAGGGCGCGUAGGCGGGCGUCAAGGUCAGGGGUGAAAUCUUUCGGCUACAACCGGAAAAGUGCCUCUGAUACUGAUCGUCGUUGAGGGAGGUGAGGGCAUGUGGAACUUCCGGUGGAGCGGUGAAAUGCGUAGAUAUCGGAAGGAACGCCGGUGGCGAAAGCGACGUGCUGGACCUCUUCUGACGCUGAGGCGCGAAAGCCAGGGGAGCAAACGGG
rnacentral:rRNA from 1 species